UGCAGUCGACGAUGAACCUCACUUGUGGGGGGAUUAGUGGCGAACGGGUGAGUAACACGUGAGUAACCUGCCCUUGACUCUGGGAUAAGCCUGGGAAACCGGGUCUAAUACUGGAUACGACCUUCCCGCGCAUGCGGUGUUGGUGGAAAGCUUUUGUGGUUUUGGAUGGACUCGCGGCCUAUCAGCUUGUUGGUGGGGUAAUGGCCUACCAAGGCGACGACGGGUAGCCGGCCUGAGAGGGUGACCGGCCACACUGGGACUGAGACACGGCCCAGACUCCUACGGGAGGCAGCAGUGGGGAAUAUUGCACAAUGGGCGCAAGCCUGAUGCAGCGACGCCGCGUGAGGGAUGAAGGCCUUCGGGUUGUAAACCUCUUUCAGUAGGGAAGAAGCCGGCCCUUUGGGUUGGUGACGGUACCUGCAGAAGAAGCGCCGGCUAACUACGUGCCAGCAGCCGCGGUAAUACGUAGGGCGCAAGCGUUAUCCGGAAUUAUUGGGCGUAAAGAGCUCGUAGGCGGUUUGUCGCGUCUGCCGUGAAAGUCCGGGGCUUAACUCCGGAUCUGCGGUGGGUACGGGCAGACUAGAGUGCAGUAGGGGAGACUG
rnacentral:rRNA from 1 species